GCGCCAUAGGGGCCAGUGGCAGGGUAGGCUCCGGUGGCACUUGGCUGUCCAGAAGAUGGGUAGGCCCCAGGGCCGCUGGGUGGCCCUGGGUAGACUCCAGGUGCUCCAGGGUAGGCGCCUGGAGGUGCCUGUCCAGGAUAAGCCCCUGGGGGUGCCUGCCCGGGGUAGGCCCCAGGAUAGGAAGCCCCUGGGUAGCCCCC
rnacentral:lncRNA from 1 species